AACUUUGUUAUUGGAAGGAUAUUCCCCAAUGGUUCAAUAAUGUAGGGAAUGGUUCUUUGGAUGCUUUGGAUCUCUCUCAUAAUAACUUGACAUCAGCUAAACAUCUUUCAAUGAGAAACUUGAGGUUUCUUGAUCUCAGCUUCAACUUGUUG